AAUCUAGCCGGGUAUUACAUUCUUCCCCCCUUUAAGAACAUUCGUCCUCGAAUGUUCACACAACAAACACAUAUGCACAAAAGCAAUUAAGGAAAGCUUAACACUUUCCUCUGAGAAGAGAUACAGAUACUACUGGAGUAAAACUCCCGGGUUAUCUCACUUCCUGAUUCUUAACUGCUUCAUCGGUGUCCCCACUCCGACUGAUUACUGACCACUCCUAUCUGUACACAGUCAAUUUGACUCUCUUCUCUAACCCUCUUUAAUUUUUUCCCGCUCUAUACAGACUACGCUGGUUAUACUAACUCUUUACUCAACCCGAUCACAAUAACUCUAAGCAAAGGCUACAUGCCUUGCCUAUAGCUUUAACUUUCUCACGUAUGCCCCGACAUCGAACUCAGAUUAUAGAAC
rnacentral:lncRNA from 1 species